UACAGAGGUCUCAAGCGUUGUUCGGAUUCAUUGGGCGUAAAGGGUGCGUAGGCGGCGCGGUAAGUCGGAUGUGAAAUCUCGGGGCUUAACUCCGAAACUGCAUUCGUUACUACCGUGCUUGAGGACUGGAGAGGAGACUGGAAUUUACGGUGUAGCGGUGAAAUGCGUAGAUAUCGUAAGGAAGACCAGUGGCGAAGGCGGGUCUCUGGACAGUUCCUGACGCUGAGGCACGAAGGCCAGGGGAGCAAACGGG
rnacentral:rRNA from 1 species